GUCCUUUAGAUAAUUAUAAUUUAAGGUCUAACCUGCCCAUUGAUAAGUUAAAAGGCCGCAGUAAUUUGACUGUGCAAAGGUAGCAUAAUCAUUAGUUUUUUAAUUAAAAGCUUGUAUGAAUGGUUGGACGAGAUAAAAUCUGUCUCUUUAUAAAAAAUAGAAUUUAAUUUUUAAGUUAAAAAGCUUAAAUUCUUAUAAAAGACGAGAAGACCCUAUAGAUCUUUAUAUAAUUUUUUUUAGUAUUAAUAAAGAUGUUUUAAUUUAUUAUAAAAAUUUAUAUUUUAUUGGGGUAAUAAAAAGAUUUAAAAAAUUCUUUUUUAUAAAACAAUAAUUAUUGAUUUGAUGAUCCAUUAUUAAUGAUUAUAAGAUUAAGUUACCUUAGGGAUAACAGCGUAAUUUUUUUAGAGAGUUCUUAUCAAUAAAAAAGUUUGCGACCUCGAUGUUGGAUUAAAAGUAAUUCUAGGUGCAGAAGUUUAGAGUUUUGGUCUGUUCGACCAUUAAAUUUUU
rnacentral:rRNA from 1 species